AACUUUCAACAACGGAUCUCUUGGUUCUGGCAUCGAUGAAGAACGCAGUGAAAUACGAUAAGUAAUGUGAAUUGCAGAAUUCAGUGAAUCAUCGAAUCUUUGAACGCACAUUGCGCCCGCCAGUAUUCUGGCGGGCAUGCCUGUGUGAGCGUCAUU
rnacentral:rRNA from 1 species